rnacentral:rRNA from 1 species
UACACUCCUACGGGAGGCAGCAGUGGGGAAUAUUGGACAAUGGGCGCAAGCCUGAUCCAGCCAUGCCGCGUGAGUGAUGAAGGCCCUAGGGUUGUAAAGCUCUUUCACCGGAGAAGAUAAUGACGGUAUCCGGAGAAGAAGCCCCGGCUAACUUCGUGCCAGCAGCCGCGGUAAUACGAAGGGGGCUAGCGUUGUUCGGAAUUACUGGGCGUAAAGCGCACGUAGGCGGAUCGAUCAGUCAGGGGUGAAAUCCCAGGGCUCAACCCUGGAACUGCCUUUGAUACUGUCGAUCUGGAGUAUGGAAGAGGUGAGUGGAAUUCCGAGUGUAGAGGUGAAAUUCGUAGAUAUUCGGAGGAACACCAGUGGCGAAGGCGGCUCACUGGUCCAUUACUGACGCUGAGGUGCGAAAGCGUGGGGAGCAAACAGGAUUAGAUACCCCUGUAGUCCCAUGA